rnacentral:rRNA from 1 species
GAGUUUGAUUCUGGCUCAGGAUGAACGCUAGCUACAGGCUUAACACAUGCAAGUCGAGGGGCAGCAUGAAUAUUGGCUUGCCAAUAUUUGAUGGCGACCGGCGCACGGGUGAGUAACACGUAUCCAACCUUCCGGUUACUCGGGGAUAGGCUUUCGAAAGAAAGAUUAAUACCCGAUGUUGUGUAUCUUUCUCCUGAAAGAUACGCCAAAGGAUUCCGGUAACCGAUGGGGAUGCGUUCCAUUAGGCAGUUGGCGGGGUAACGGCCCACCAAACCUUCGAUGGAUAGGGGUUCUGAGAGGAAGGUCCCCCACAUUGGAACUGAGACACGGUCCAAACUCCUACGGGAGGCAGCAGUGAGGAAUAUUGGUCAAUGGACGGAAGUCUGAACCAGCCAAGUAGCGUGAAGGAUGACUGCCCUCUGGGUUGUAAACUUCUUUUAUACGGGAAUAACAUGAGGUACGGGUACCUUAUUGCAUGUACCGUUAUGAAUAAGCAU